GUGCUACCAGAUCAAAUAUACAAUCUACC
rnacentral:sRNA from 1 species